UAGCCAUUGAUGUUCUUGCACUGACAUCCAUAGAGAUCAAACUGGUCUGAGGAUGUAAUCUGUUCUACGCAGAAGAAUGGUACCGAUCUGAUUUCAGACACGUGAACAAUGAAUAACACCAAGUUGAGUCACCAAACAACCGUUUAGUAUGGCUGGUCACACAUAAUUACCAAAUUCAUUAACAACAAACAACUUUAAAACAAAAUAACAUAGAAGGUGAUGCAAAUCAAUGCAAACAAUGUUCAGCUACAGUACGUGUGCUACAUACCAUGUUCCCAAAAACUUAAGCACAACAGACCUUCCAAGGCAGGUUGUAGAAUCCCCAUCAGUGGAGGUUUUCAAGAACAGGUUGGACAGACACCUGCCAGGGAUUGUCUAGGUUUAUUUAGUCCUUCCUCAGCACAGCAUGUUGU